UACGUAGGGAGCAAGCGUUGUCCGGAUUCACUGGGCGUAAAGGGUGCGCAGGCGGAUUUGUAAGUCAGAGGUGAAAUCUCACGGCUUAACCGUGAAACUGCCUUUGAUACUGCAGAUCUUGAGUUUGGGAGAGGUUGAUGGAAUUCCAGGUGUAGCGGUGAAAUGCGUAGAUAUCUGGAAGAACACCAGUGGCGAAGGCAGCCCCCUGGGCUAACACUGACGCUCAGGCACGAAAGCGUGGGGAGCAAACAGG
rnacentral:rRNA from 1 species